rnacentral:ncRNA from 2 species
AAUGAGAGACAGGGGCGCCCUCCUAAUUGGGGGGGCUGAGAAGCACCCUUUGAACCUGAACCGGAUAAUGCCGGCGGAGGGAGUCGCUCGGGCUCCCUG